rnacentral:rRNA from 1 species
AAAUUGAAGAGUUUGAUCAUGGCUCAGAUUGAACGCUGGCGGCAGGCCUAACACAUGCAAGUCGAACGGUAGCACAGAGAGCUUGCUCUCGGGUGACGAGUGGCGGACGGGUGAGUAAUGUCUGGGAAACUGCCUGAUGGAGGGGGAUAACUACUGGAAACGGUGGCUAAUACCGCAUAACGUCGCAAGACCAAAGAGGGGGACCUUCGGGCCUCUUGCCAUCAGAUGUGCCCAGAUGGGAUUAGCUAGUUGGUGAGGUAACGGCUCACCAAGGCGACGAUCCCUAGCUGGUCUGAGAGGAUGACCAGCCACACUGGAACUGAGACACGGUCCAGACUCCUACGGGAGGCAGCAGUGGGGAAUAUUGCACAAUGGGCGAAAGCCUGAUGCAGC